AUUCAUCACAAAUUCCCUCUGUCUCCUCCAGAAUCCAGAAAAGAAUAAUUACGAUAUUUUCAAAAUGGAAAGUUCCCAUGCCAAAGACUUUGCCUUCUUCACCAAACUAUGAUUUCGUGAUGUUCUUAAAGCCUGGCCUGCAGACUAGCAACCCAAGACUUAUACUGCCCAAUUUGACAGCUCAUUUUUAUUUUAGUUUCACCAUAUACAUGAAUUGGACUUACAAUUCCAGAAAAAUUAAAGGCUCAAGAAUGGGGCAUGAGUACACACUGUGUGCUAAGGAAAGAAUAUUUGGAUUGAAUUGAACCCCUGCAGAACGUGGACUAUUUAGAGACCUGAAUUUGGCCUUGGGUGAAUACCUGCCUUGGGUUGGCCAACUAGCAGUCAACAGCAAUGAGCCAAAAGAGACAAACCAAGUUUCAAAAUGGCAAAUCAAAGACUUCAGAAAAUAGCUCAGCUAAACGUGAGAAAGGAAUGGUUGUCAAUAGCAAAGAGAUUUCUGAUGCAGUCGGGCAAUCAAAAUUUGUUCUAGAGAACCUUCGGCAUUACACAGUCCAUCCAAAUUUG
rnacentral:lncRNA from 1 species